GAUUCUUAGUGCUCUGAUACAAUCAUGAUUAAACUGAAGAAGGUCAGUCUGGAGAAUCAAGUAAAUAAAUAGUUCCAGUAGAAUGUGUUAACAUAUGUAAUUGAGUUGCUACAAAGCAGCUUGCAGAGGCUUGAAGGCCCAAGAUGGAUGAAUAGGCAUUUUGAAGAGGAAAAUGUGAGCAAGGAGAAAACAACAUUGGCUGGGGACUCUUGGGAGGAAAUCAAGCUGUCUGAGAAUUCAGAGGUGGCAGCCAGACCAUCGCCUCUACUCUACAUUGCAAGCUUAGCUAAGGCCAUUCAUCUGAUGGAAAAACCUAUUCCCUUUGGCUCUCAUUUCAGUCAGGAGGUCUACCUUGUUUCUGCCAUGUACAUGUCUAGCAGCUGAUGACACUAUUCAGAAAGCUCCUCGAGCCUACCUUGUUUCCUCUUCCUUCUCCUUUCUCAUGACGUGCAAGUGGAUUAUCUGAACACUGCUUUUACUUAGAGGAAUCCCAGCCCAUCUGUACAACCACUGUGUGAUCUGAGUCUUCAGCCACUGUACCUCCUUGGCAUGCUGCCACGUUCUAAUAAUGCCCAUCAUAGCAACAAUGGCAGCUACAAGAAACCUUGCUGGAUCCCACAUGUUCUUACAGAUAUCCACCCCCAGUUCUCUUUUCCUUUAAUAAAAUUUCUU